rnacentral:rRNA from 1 species
UACGUAGGGGGGCAAGCGUUGUCCGGAAUCAUUGGGCGUAAAGAGCGCGUAGGCGGUCCGAUAAGUCGACUGUGAAAGUCAUGGGCUCAACCCAUGAAAGCCGGCCGAUACUGUCGGACUAGAGUCCGGAAGAGGCGAGUGGAAUUCCCGGUGUAGCGGUGAAAUGCGCAGAUAUCGGGAGGAACACCAAUUGCGAAGGCAGCUCGCUGGGACGGUACUGACGCUGAGGCGCGAAAGCGUGGGGAGCGAACAGG